CACGCCUCAGCCUUCCCGCCCCUCACUGUCCUCCCAGCUGGCCCAGGCAGAGACUAUCAUUUCCCCUUUGCAACUGCAGAGGCUGAAGCUCAGCUGUCUGUUAGUUUCCCAGGCACAUGCUGGUGCCUGGCAGAGCUUACAGAGGAAGCUUGGUCUCACCUGGCCUCCCAUUCUGACUGGUGAGAGGCCAUGGAGAGGGCGCACAGUUACCGCCUUCAGCUGUAGCUUUACUUUUUAGCUUUCACUAAUCACAACCCUCCCUCUCAGAGCAUCUAUUUCAUCCCGUGAGGCAGACAAUUUGUCCACACGUAGUCUCAGGAAGGAUGAGUACAAUACAUAAGAUAUUUACAGACAGGUCGUAGUCAUGUAACUUAUGUUACACUGUCUUGCAAUCUAUUCUAUUAUUGUCUGUUAGUCUCUUUUUUAAAAAAAAACAACCUUAUUUUUAUUAUUUUUAAUUAUGUGUGUGUUGGAGGUGGGUGGGUUAUGUACAUAUGCAUGCAGUGCCCACAGAGGCUAGAGCAGAGUGUCAGAUCUUCUAGAGCUGGAGACACAGGGCUUUGGAGCCAUCCUGUGUGGGUGCUAGGAACUGAACUCUGGUCCUUUUGUUUUGAACUGCUGAGCCAUCUCUCUAGAGCACUGCUUGUUAAUCUCUUACACAAAACUUUAAACUUUGUUGUAGAAUGCAUUUGUAAGAAAAAGUAUACAUAUGGUGUAUGUACGACACAGGGAGAGAGAGACAGAGGCAGAUAGGCAGACAGACACAACCCCAUGCUGCUGGAAUGGUUUCAGGUUGGCAUGCUCUCCUUUAGAAUGUCCCUGGGAGUAGCCGAGGUAAAGCCCAGAUGGGUGGUGUUGGUGUUACUGGCUCUGUCUGGGAGGUCUAAGAUCUCAGAGAAAAAGAAAUAAUUUAGAUGUCUCUAAAACAGGUUCCUAAACCUGGCUGCUCAUCAAAUUCAUCAAGAAAGGCAAAAAGAAACACUUCUAAAAUGCCUACAAACCACAGACCCAUCCGCAGGCCCUUCCUCAGAGCUGUGGAGUCUGCAAAGGGGAAAACACUAUCGGUGUCUUUCCCAGUCACUUCUGGGGGCUUGUGGGCCAGGCCUGGGACAGGGCAGUGCCUCUGUUCUUGGAUGCCUCUGCCCACUCCAGGUAGCGCUGAGGCCUUCUGAAUGGAAAGCUAAGUGCCUGCCAAGCUACGCCAGGCACCCAGCUGUGUGCAGGGCCUCAGUGCCGGCCCUGAGCUUGUUUACUGUGUGCUUACAGUAAUGACUACUUUGUCAAAACACACUCUAGGGAGCUGCUGCCCCAGGCCUCUGUGUCAUCUCUCUUUUAUUGAAGCAUAAAAAAAGCUUGCAUUAUUGUUCUCUGGAUUCUGGUUUUCUCAGGGAUCAAGAAAGCAAGGAGCACUUUGUGCAAACAGCAAAGCCUGCUUUGUUGUCUGAGGCCAGGGAAGUACGGCUGUGAGGAGAAAGCCUUUCACAGACCAUAAAAGAGACACUCCACACACAGCAGGAUGGAGGCGGAGGACUGGAGAAGGGCCUGAAAACCAGCUCAGCCAAGGCUCUGCGUGUUUCUGUAUGAAGGCCAUUUUGCCGGUGUGGGUGGUCCAGUUGGUAAAGUACUUGCCACACAAACCCAAGGACUGGAGUUCAACCCCCGGAGUUCAUGUUACAGAGCUGAAUGUAGUGCAUCUGCUUGUGACCCUAGUCCUGUCACGGAGUCAAGCCAAUCCUAGGACUUGCUGGGCAGCCAGCCUGGUGCACUCAGCACCCUGCAGGCCAAUGAGGCUACAUCGCCCCCAGAUAAGAGCUGCAUGGCUUCUGAAGAACAACACCCAAGGUUGACCUCUGACCUAUGCGUGCAUAUGAACAGACAGGUAGGCAGGCAGGCAAGCAGGCAGACACAUACUAUAUAUAUAUAUAUUUUUUUUUUGAGAGAGGGUCUCAUUGUGUAGCCUAAAACUCAUUGUGAUUGGCCCAGAACUCACAGAGAUUCUCCUGCCUCUGCCUCCUGAGUGCUGAGAAUAAUGGCACCUGGAAAACGUAACUUUUUUUUUUUUUUUAGCAGUAUGUUUAUUAAUCCUUGGGAAUGCCAUACAAAGCCAUUUCAUGAAGGCCAUUUCUAGGGGGUCUGUUUUGUGAACUGCUGUUUCUAGAAAGCAGAGUAAGUUGGUCUCACUUUUGUGUGCCCUUGGGUGGACACUAAGAAAAGGAGCAGUGUGUUUUCUUGUGUGCCACCGGCCCUCUUCACCAGCUACAGGUGGGCACAGCAGCUGCUGUCCUCCUGGUAUUGGCAGGCGAGCAAGGCUCAGAGAGGGCGUUCCUUCCUCAGCCUUCUGAAGUGCCCCUGGUUUGUUCCCACGGCAUCAGAACUUGUUGGGUGUGCAAACCCUUGCCUGUGGGGGCCAUCAUGAACCUGAAGAAGUCUCACAAGUUGGAUUUCCCUCUGCUCUUCUCCCUUCCCUUCCUAUUCCCUUUAAUUUAUCUCUCUUGUCUUCCUUUCUUUCCUCUCUUUCCCCUCCUUCCUACCUUUCUUCCUUCCUUUUAAACUAAGUCUUGAUACAUAGCCCAGGCUGGCCUGGCACUUUUUGUAUAGGCUGGAGAGGUCUUGAACUCAUGCCAAUCAUCCUAAUUCAGCCUCUAGCAUGCUGGCACUACAGGGCUGUGCAGCCCUGCCCAAAUGCAUGUAGAAUUUCUUCAGGUGGAGCACAGAGGUACUGAAUUCUCUGUGCUCUCCACAUGUGUAUCUAUGCCUCUGCAUCUGUAAGUAGUUUAAGUAUUAUUGUGUGUGUGUAUGUAUGAUGUGUAUGUUUGAGUAUAGGUGCUUUUCCCAACUGAGCCACCUCUCCAGUCCCAACCAAUGCUCUCAAGUUUGAUAGACAGGCUCUUAGCACUGUGAGCAUCACCUGAAGGGAUCAGAAAAGUGGCAGGGUAGAAUCCUGACUCCCCAGACCUGGGGUGAAGAUAGGCAAUUUACAUGCUAAUCAAUUUCUAAACUUCUGGAAAGGUCAGGCUGCAGCUGGAGCAGAGAAUCUCACUGUGAGAACCAGUCUGUGUAUACUCUACCUUUCUCUCCGUGUAUGUAUUAAAAAUAUUUAUUUAUUAUCAUUGUGGUGUGUGUGUGUGAGUGUGUGUGUGCGGGCAUUGCCACAGUGUGGAUAACGUUGCGGCGUGAGUUGUCUCCGUCCACCUUUGUGUGGGUUUCAGGAAUUGAAGUCAGGUCAUCAGGCUUUCGAUACAGCUGGCUAGUUGGCCUCUAGACAUCAGUUUUAUGUUGAUAUCCUACAUUAGAUCCUCAGGAGGGGUAGCCAUUAUUCUUUUUUGAUGGGUGCAUAGAAAUCCAUUGACUGUUGGAGCUGGGUAUGGUGGCAUACAUCUAUAAUUCUAGUGUUCAAAAGAAGCAGAAGCAUCAUGACUUUAAGGCUACCUUUGCUACCUACCUAUGGAGUUCCAGGCCAAUGUGGGCUAUAUUAUGAGAUUCUUUCUCAAAAACAAACAAAUAAACAAACAGCAAAGCAAACAAGACACAAACAAACAAACAAACAAAAAAGCCAGAACAACAACAAAAGCCACAUCAUUUAACCCUCUCUGCUGGGAAAUAGAGAUUGUUUCUGCUUUCCUCACUGCAAUGCUGUAACAUCCUUCCGGUACUUACGCUAAUACUUCUGCUUUUAAAAUAGAUUUAUUUGUUUUUCUUUUAUGUGUAUGAGUAUUGGACUGCAUGGAUGUCUGGGCACCAAAUGCAUGUACGGUGCCUUCACAGGACCGAAGAGGGUGUCAGAUUCCCUGGAGUUGAAGUUGUGAACCACCAUGUGGGUGCCGGGAACAGAACCUGGGUCCUCUGUAAGAGGAGUAAGUGCUCUUCCCCAUGGAGCCAUUUCUGCAGCCUCCUAAUACUUCAAAAGAGCCAACUGAGAAGUGGGAGAGGUUUAUUCCAUUCCCAUAUUUAUUCUACCAAUGGAGUUUGGAAAACAUCCUACCAAACACCGGCUAUUGAGAAUCUUUCCUCUCUGAAACCCGGCAGGGGCCAGAGCAGCAGAAAAAACUACAUUGUUGGGCAUGGCUUGGGUCCUGGAUACCCACAGAAGUAUCUGGAGAAGCCACAUAAAGGAGGAAAACAGCUGGUUCUAGAAAAACAAAAGGAUUCAAUAUUGUUCAGAAAACAGAACAAGGGUAAGGGAGGCCUGAGUUUCUGAAUGCCAAGGGUCUGUUUGUUUCUGAAUUUACAGCAGAUACCCAGGCUGGGCGAUUCGAAACUGUAGACGUGUAAGGCUCAGAGUUCUGGAGGCCGGGAAGUACCAGAAAGUUUGGUGGGAGGGAGUGGCUAGGCUCCGCUUUCAAGAUGGCGCCCUGCAUACUGUCUUCCAUGGCAGGAGAGAAGGUGGGAGGAGAGAAAGCAAGAGAGAAGAGAGGAGAGGAGAGAAGAAAGAGGAUGAGAGAGAGAGAGAGAGAGAGAGAGAGAGAGAGAGAGAGCACAAGCAGAGGGGAGGGAGGUGCAGGUGCUUAGCUGUAAGGGUGAGGAUGGCUGAGAGUGAAACUCUCAUCAAAACUCAACAUCAAAGGAAUUACAGUCCCAAGCGAGCUUAGUUUUAAUGUAUGCUCCUGUGUGUGUGUGUGUAUGUGUGUGUGUGUGUAUGUGUGUGUGUGUGUGUAUGUGUGUGUGUACAUGUGUGUAUGCUUGUGUCUGGAACUGGUUGGCCAAUGAGCUCCGUGGAUCUGCUUAUCUCUUUCCCUAGUGCUGGGAUUACAACCAUCACACCAUGCACAGCUUUUGAAAUUAUAUAUUUGCAGUUGGAGAGAUGGCUCAAUGAUUAGUGCAAUGACUAACCUUCCAGAGUACAUACAUUCAAUUCUCUGCACCCACAUGACAGCCCACAUCUAUAACUCCAGUUCCAAGGGCUCCUCUGUGUGCAUCAGAUACACAUGUGAUGCACAAACAUACAUGUGGGCAAGACAUUCCUACACAUAGAGUUAAAUAAUUCUCAAAGAAUAAGUGAAUAGAAUUAAACACACUCAGGAAAAAUAUAAACAAAAGGUUUCUUUAUGAAAAUUAUGUAUGUUUUAUUCAUUUCUGGAAAUUUAAUACACACAUAUAUGUAUUAUUUUGAUCAUAUCCAAUCCCCACUUCUGCCUUACCCAACUGCUAGGAUCUCCCAAAAUAUUUACCUGCCAACUUCUUGUCCUUUCUUUAAAAAACAAAAACAAAACACCAGUGAGUCCAGUUGGUGCUUCUUAUGUGUGCCCGGGUGUGAGGCCAGUUACUGGGGCAUGGCAACCUGCCACUGGCCACAUCCCCGAAGAGCAGUGGUUACCCUCCUCCUCAGCCGUCAGCAGCUCCUCAUCUGGGAUGCCCCUACGGUACCUCCCUAUCUGUGCUGGAACUUUAGCUAGCUUAAUUUUGUGCAAGUAACCACCAAUUCUGAGAGUUCAUGUGAGCGACACCAUGCCUCGUUUCACCACACAGCAACCUACAGCCUCCCUCCCCACCCCAGCUCUUGCACCCUUUCCCCCUCCUCUUCCCUCGAUGUUCCCUGAGCUGUGGUUGGGUGUCCCAGCUAUGGCUGAGCACUCACAGAGUUUUCAGCACUUUGGCCAGUUGUGAGCCUCUGCAUUAACCAUUAUCUGCUGCAAUAAGAAGCUUCUCGGAUCCCGGAUCCCGGUUGAGAGCCGCACAAUCAGACCGCAGUUCGACAAUGUGACUGUUUCGUGAAACGACUACAGUGAGUUCCCCCAAGGCAUGUGAUCCCCACAGCCAUUGGUUUUUAACCAGCUUUAUUGCGCCAUGCGUGAAGUCCCUUCUGUGGAGGAAACCUCCAGUCCAGCUAGAAAGCAGGUGGUUGCUACAGUAACGGUCGUGCCAGCAUUGCACCAGUGAGCACAGCUUGCCUGGUCGGGCUGUAUUGUGGCAUGCAGGACCCAGGGUUGGAAAGAGCAUUGGUGUUCUAGUUUGCUUUACGUUGCCAUGAUAGACACUAUGACCAAAGGCAACCUGGAGGAGGAAGGGGGUUAUUUCGUCUUACAGCUUGUAGUCUGUUAUGAAGGGACUCAAGACAGGAACUAAAGCAGAGUUCGUGGGGGUAAGGAGAGGUUGCUUAAUGGAUUAUGCUCCACGAUCAAUUCAUUUUGCUCUUUUAAUAUUUCCUUCAAAACCACCUACCCAGGGGUUGUAUCUUCCUCAUCAAACAUUAGAGAAAAUGCCGCACAGGCUUGUCUACAGGCCAAUCUGGUUGGGGCACUUACUCCUUUGCUCGGGUGAGGUACCUUCUUUCUAGAUGAUCCUCGCUGGUGUCAAGUUGACAAGAUGUAGCUGGUGUGGCUGACUGUAGGGAGAAAAGCACUGUCUCUCAAAGGAACAUUCUGCUAAAGUUCUGAUUCCAACCAGUCUGGAGUGAGCAGCUUCCUUCCCUCACCAACAAGCCAAAAAGGUGGAUGGUGCCUGAGGUUGACCUCUGGCCUCCACCAACACACACACACACACACACACACACACACACACACACACACACACACACACACAGAUCUCUCUUCACCUUGCACUGUAAUGUUCUGAACAGACCCUCCUUGCUUCUCCAGCGGCUUGAGGUCCAGUGCUGUGGGAAUGCUCCUUUAGCGAGCUUUGUCUCUGCAUGGAUACUGACUCUGAGGAGGGCAGCUGCAAGGCCCCUUCUGUCCACAGGGUUUGGUCAAGUGUUUUACCGGCAACAGUUUCCAGGGACAGGACAGGGGCCCAUCUCAGCUCCCAUGGUGUGCGCUCUGCAACCCUGCUCUCACAACUAUCCGACUCUGGCCUCAUUACUGGGCUAGUUUUUCUACUUCCUAGAAAGUAUAUUCUACCCAACAGAGAGAGCAAUGCAGUCAGAGGAAUAUCUAGCCAAACCCAGCUCCAGGGUCAGAGCCACAGAACUAACUGUCAGCUCCCCCAGGCUGUCCACACAUCUGCAUGGACUGGCCUUAGCAAGUCUCUGAAACCCAUCUAUUGUCCUUCCUGCUUUCCUUGCCUCUUUUUUUUGUUGCCUCUCUUCGGCUUAUGCCUGUCUUCAUUCAUUCCUUCAUUCCUUCAUUGAUCCACUCAUCUCUUUUGGGGGCAUUUACUUUACCUUUGUGCCAAACAUACUGAAAAAAAAAAGCAUAAGACAAUGAGACCGCUUGGUUCUGGGGGAAACUGGGACUUCUCCACGUUGAGGUGGAUGAAGCUGAGGCACAUGCACAGGGACUUCUCCACUCUCAUCUGUCCUGAAGUGCCUGCACUCUUUCUUGCUACUCUGGUGCCAUUUAUUCACGUCUUCACAUGUGUGUGGCCACGGCCUUCUGCUCUCGGUGCACAGAGCACAUCCUCCUGAUUUGAACGAAUCAAGGCCAGAGCGAUUGGCUGAGGCUACAGGGGCCUGAAGGGAAGGUGUCUUGGACAAUGGAGGAAGGUCCUGGAAAGGUUUCUUUUCUCCCCCUGUGGGAGACACAUGGAGAAGAGAGCCUUUCUCACAGAUGCUGCACGUGAGCCAGUGGCCUCUGAGAUGAAGAGAUGGGGGCAGAUAUCAAAACUCUAAGUACGCAGGGCAGAGUUGGAAGACAUUUGCGUUUUUGAAGGUGCCGUCAGUCAAGUCCAUGAAUAGAGCACCUCUGGACAGCACCUGCCUUCUAACUCAUAUGCAUGUGGAUGUCUCGACUUGCCUUUAAUUUGGAAAAUGGUUCUCAACUGGAAAAGGUAAGCCCUCAGCUCAGCCUCCAGAUUAGGAAGAUGACAGGUGAUGGGGAAGGCAGCGAGCUGGCCCUGUGCCCAGUCUGGAGGGAAUGGCUGCAGACUGAUGGCUGUGCGCAGAGCUCUUGGAGGACAAUGAUGUGGCAGGCUUGGCCAUGCUACCACAGAAGCCUGAAAUCUGGCUAAAAACAGCUAUUUUAUAGCUGAGCUGGCACAUAGCUUGUUAUCUUAGCGCUUGGGAGGUAGAGGCAGGAGGAUCAGAAGUUCAAGGUCACUUUUGGCUGCAUAGUGAGUUUGAGGCCAAACCUGAGCUACUUAAGACCCUGUCUCAAAAAAAAAAAAAAAAAAAAAAAAAAAAAAAGCAAACAAAAAACAAGGGGACUGGAGAGAUGCUCUUGCAGAGGACCAAGCACACACACACAGAGCCUCAUACUCCUCUAACUAGCAGAGUUUUCAAAGCCAGUGCCGAGCUCUGUGAGGCCUUCAGUAGCCCCACUCACUCUGGUGUGCCUUCAGGGCAGGCUCCUAGGGGCCGGCCGGAAGGGGAGUCCUGAGGAGCGCUUGGGGAACAUCCUGGGAAGAAGGCUGUCACACAGCCUUCUGAGAUCAUGCUUGCGUGUGUCACACCUUGCUGCCCGCUGGCACAAUCACUGCCAGCUUUGUAUGCACCCGGGUGUCUCUUAGGGCAUUCCUACCCCUUGUGCAAUGACUGCCAUGUGGCUUGGCACAGAUCUGAGUACACAUCCCAGGCAGGUGGCGUGGUGACACCUGGCUGGCUCAGCUCUCCCUCGGCUCCCCUUGUCUCCACUGUACUUCCUUCACAGACACUUGUGGUCUAGUGGGAACUAGCCUGUGAGCUCAUUCACAGCUCUUGCUCUGUGUGUAUAUAACACAGCUCCCAGGGAUCAAUACAGCUGAGAGCAGCAAAACAGACACAAUACAGACUACGUCACUAACCGUACUGAGGGUGAGCACUGUUUACUGAGCCUUUGCCAUGUGACAAUUUGUGUAAGCCCAUCAAAACCUUCCCAGUUAGAUACCACCGAUAUGUUCACUUUACUACAAGGAAAUUGAGGCCGGAGAAGUUAAUUCACCUACCCAGGAUGCACAGUGUACAGGUGGGGUUCACUCGGAAGCUCGUGCAUUUGGCCAAGAUAUAUAUACUGUGUCUUUGGUAUCUGCGUCACUGUGGUUCAAAGAAGUCUCCUUCACCCCUGCGCUUUGCUUACACUUAAGUUUAAAAAUCUAAAUCUUUACCUGGAUCUUUAAAAUCACCAUUUCGAAAGAGUUUGAACUGUAGUCUCCUGCACCCCUGCCAGCUUUAGGACAUCUUUUGUUUCAUGUUUAGAAUUAAUGCAUUUAAAAAAAUAACGGUAUUUAUUUAUUUUUGUGUAUGUAUGUGCACGUGUGCCUCUGUGUGUGCAUGUGUUUGCCUAUUUUAUGAAUGUACCUCUGUGUGAAUGUGCCUGUGGGUGUCUCUGUGUGUGUCUGUUUGUGUGCCUGUGUCUACAUGUGUGUCUCUGUGUGUGCCUCUGUAUGUUUAUGUCUGUGUGUACAUGUGUGCCUGUGUGUACAUAUGUGCCUCAGUGUGUAUUUGCCUGUGUGAGCACACAGGAGUCAGGAAGCAGAGGGUGGUGAACACUGGUGCUCAGGUCUCUCUCUCUCUUUUUCAUUUGGUCUAGGAGGUCAGCCAAAGGAUGCUGCCACCCUCAAUCAAGGCGGGCCUUCCCUCUUCAGCUUAGCCUCUCUGCAAACACCAUCACUGACACACCCGGUGUGUGUCUCCCGGUGAUUCUAAAUGUAGUCAAGCUGACAGUGAGAGCUAAAAUUGUUUUCUAAUGCUGUUUCUUUUAAGACUCUCCGUGCUUGGGUCUGCAAUGGUUGUCUCCAUUUACACCCCACCAGCUCUCUUCCAGUCCCCCGCUAUCCACAUGGCUGUCUCUUGCCAGCAUGUUCUUGUGUGUGUGUUUUCUUUUCCAUGUUUGCCAUUCUGAUGGGUGGGAUGUAGCUCACUGUGGUUGUGACUUGUGCAGUUCCCCAACAGUGAUGGUGAGCAUUUUCUCACAGCUUUUCUUGUUGUUUAAGUGUAUCUUCUUCUUUUUUAAAUAUUUAUUUA